GAGCUUGCUCUCGGGUGACGAGUGGCGGACGGGUGAGUAAUGUCUGGGAAACUGCCUGAUGGAGGGGGAUAACUACUGGAAACGGUAGCUAAUACCGCAUAACGUCGCAAGACCAAAGAGGGGGACCUUCGGGCCUCUUGCCAUCAGAUGUGCCCAGAUGGGAUUAGCUAGUAGGUGGGGUAACGGCUCACCUAGGCGACGAUCCCUAGCUGGUCUGAGAGGAUGACCAGCCACACUGGAACUGAGACACGGUCCAGACUCCUACGGGAGGCAGCAGUGGGGAAUAUUGCACAAUGGGCGCAAGCCUGAUGCAGCCAUGCCGCGUGUAUGAAGAAGGCCUUCGGGUUGUAAAGUACUUUCAGCGGGGAGGAAGGUGUUGUGGUUAAUAACCGCAGCAAUUGACGUUACCCGCAGAAGAAGCACCGGCUAACUCCGUGCCAGCAGCCGCGGUAAUACGGAGGGUGCAAGCGUUAAUCGGAAUUACUGGGCGUAAAGCGCACGCAGGCGGUCUGUCAAGUCGG
rnacentral:rRNA from 1 species